GAGAUAACUCGUUCAACAAUGAGCGGCGUGAGAAGAGUCGGUGUGCUGGUCCUGGCGGCGGCUGUACUGGUGUACCUGUACAAAGCCUACCUACAGACCCCCCUCCCCGUGCUGUAUAACGGCAGGGUCCAUCCAGACUUCCAGGAAGUGGCUGACCUCUACAGGUAAGUGACGACGACCGCCAGAAUCUAUCACCGGUGUACCGUCCGGCUUGUACAUAAAGUAUAUAUAUGGUAUAGUACUUCGUUUAUACAGGUAUAUAUGCAGCGGCAAUUAAACAGAGUAACAUUUUUAAUGAAAUAUUUGAUAGAUUUUAUGCAUCAUCAUAGAAUGUUCUAGACAUUAACUGUGUGUAUUACAUUGUGUCCCUUCUUUAAAACCGGAAUCCACAUGUUUUCCUGCGUAAACAAACAUUUGUUUGUCACUCUAUGUAAAGCAUGAUUUAAAAAUGGGGUCAUUAUUUAGAACAGUGAUAUUGAUUCUAGGACAGUUUGCACAAGGUGAUUUUUGAUGUGGUGGUUUUUUUUUUGUGUUUUGGCUUUUUUUUUUUGGGGGGGGGGUUAUUUUUGUUAUAAGCUCCAGUGUUUUCUUUAUGAUUACUUGAAUAUUGGAACGUGCACAAUUCAUUUCGUGUAAAAAAUAACCCACAUAUAAAAUAAAAUAACAAAAUCAAAAUUGAAGAAGAAUCUGGGGGAAUAAGCCGUUACAAAUGCCCACGACCCUCCCAUACGUCUUAUAAAAAGUAAUAAACGUACGAGUUAACUCCAAAUGAAAAUGUCCAAAAAUGCGAGAAAGGGGCAAUUGACAUUUGAAAGGCGUAACUGCGCUUAAAUUUUGUAGUAUUUACAUAUACUUUUAACUGGCAAAUUUACAAUAACAAUCACAUACACACUGUACUCAUUUAAAGAUGUUGAUUACUUUCUAACAAUAUUUAAUUUACUAAUUUACCUCAGUCAUCGUUUACAACCCCUACAAAGUCGACAAAGAGUAUGGGGGAGUCGAUUUUUCCGCUUCGGAGACAGAAAGAAUUUAAUUAACUCCUUUUGUAGGUAUUCGAAACAAGUAUUUUUAAAAGAAAUAUACAGUGGCAUCGGAAGCAAAUUGAAAGUGGGGUGGGGGGGGGGGGGGGCUAGACUUAUAAAAAAUCUUGACAAGCCAAAAAAACGUCUUUGCUAUGUCUAAUUUUGCAAAAAAGUGGGGGGAGGGGCUAAGUCCCCCUUAGCCAGCCCCUCCCCCCCCCCGGUUGAUCUAUACCACACGGAAGACAGCGAUAGUCAAACCAGUAACGUAUAACAAGCUUGUUAUAGGUCACUGGUCAAACUUUGUGUUGGUCUUUGGUCCUAGUGGUCUUUGUGUCUUUUGGUAGAACUACUAUGCUUUUUCUUUCACAACAAAACAAAUGUGAUUUUCCUGCCGAUACAAUUGGAAGUGAAAUACAUGCCUAGUUAAUCGUUGAAUUUUCUUUAGGCGCAUACUGUACAUUUGACUUAGCUUGUAUUCUGCAUUUUGUGCACAAUUACAUGCUUUUGUCCAGCGUAUGUCCCUGUUGUGUUAACAAGACUCUCAAGGAUUAAAAGAUGGAACGUUUUAUCUUGCCAUUUCUUGCAUGCACAACAACCAUUUGUUUACAAUAUGAAAUCGUGCAAGAGAAUAACAUACAUUUUAUAAUUAAUAAAAGUAGUAGAAAAGUAGUAGAAAUCGCAUAUCAAAUAUUUAAAGUUAUUAUAAGCAAAUUUUUAUUAUU
rnacentral:misc_RNA from 1 species